AUACGGAGGGUGCAAGCGUUAUUCGGAAUCACGGGGCGUAAAGGACGCGUAGGCGGGUUGGCAAGUCAGAUGUGAAAUCCUACAGCUUAACUGUAGAACUGCAUUUGAAACUGCUAACCUAGAGUAUGGGAGGGGGAGAUGGAAUUAGUGGUGUAGGGGUAAAAUCCGUAGAUAUCACUAGGAAUACCGAAAGCGAAGGCGAUCUCCUGGAACAUAACUGACGCUAAGGCGUGAAAGCGUGGGGAGCAAACAGGAUUAGAUACCCUUGUAGUCC
rnacentral:rRNA from 1 species